rnacentral:tRNA from 1 species
UGGAGCCUGGAAAGUUUAGUUGGUUAGAGUGUGGUGCUGAGAACACCAAGGUUGCAGGUUCAAUCCCUGAUGGCUCCAU